GGAAGCGACCUGCUUAUGAAUUGUCG
rnacentral:sRNA from 1 species